UACAGAGGUCUCGAGCGUUAGGCGGAAUCACUGGGCUUAAAGCGUGUGUAGGUGGAUCGUUAAGUACCUUGUGAAAUCCCACGGCUUAACCGUGGAACUGCUUGGUAUACUGGCGGUCUUGAGCCACUUAGGGGCUACCGGAACAAAUGGUGGAGCGGUGAAAUGCGUAGAUAUCAUUUGGAACGCCAAUGGUGAAAACAGGUAGCUGGGAGUGUGCUGACCACUGGAGACACGAAAGCCAGGGGAGCAAACGGG
rnacentral:rRNA from 1 species